GACGAACGAUGGCGGCGUGCCUCAUACAUGCAAGUCGAACGCAGUGGGGACGGGUGAGUAACACGUGGGUAACCUCCCAUCAGAGGGGAUAACACUUGGCAACAGGUGCUAAACUGAUACUGAUGGAUGGACUCGCGGGGCAUUAGCUAGUUGGUGAGGCAAGGGUUCACCAAGGCCACGAUGCAUAGCCGACCUGAGAGAGUGAGCGGCCACGCUGGGACUGAGAGACGGCCCAGACUCCCAAGUGAGGCAGCAGUAGGGAAUCUUCGGCAAUGGACGAAAGUCUGACAGAGCAACGCCGCGAGAGUGAAGAAGGUUUUCGGAUCGUAAAACUCUGUUGUUAGAGAAGCGGUAUCUAACCAGAAAGCCACGGCUAACUACGUGCCAGCAGCCGCGGUAAUAC
rnacentral:rRNA from 1 species